rnacentral:rRNA from 1 species
GCGUGAGUGAUGACGGCCCUAGGGUUGUAAAGCUCUUUCAACGGUGAAGAUAAUGACGGUAACCGUAGAAGAAGCCCCGGCUAACUUCGUGCCAGCAGCCGCGGUAAUACGAAGGGGGCUAGCGUUGUUCGGAAUAACUGGGCGUAAAGCGCACGUAGGCGGAUUGUUAAGUUAGGGGUGAAAUCCCAGGGCUCAACCCUGGAACUGCCUCUGAUACUGGCAAUCUCGAGUUCGAGAGAGGUGAGUGGAAUUCCGAGUGUAGAGGUGAAAUUCGU